CGGACGGGUGAGUAACGCGUGGGUAACCUGCCUUAUACAGGAGGAUAACAGUCAGAAAUGGCUGCUAAUACCGCAUAAGCGCACAGAGCUGCAUGGCUCGGUGUGAAAAACUCCGGUGGUAUAAGAUGGACCCGCGUUGGAUUAGCUUGUUGGUGGGGUAACGGCCCACCAAGGCGACGAUCCAUAGCCGGCCUGAGAGGGUGAACGGCCACAUUGGGACUGAGACACGGCCCAGACUCCUACGGGAGGCAGCAUG
rnacentral:rRNA from 1 species